UUCUGAUAUGGUAAAUUAGUAAAAACCAUGUUUAAUGUUUACCAUUGAGCCUUUAAGUGGCAAUGUACCCUGAAGCGCCCUACUUUAGUAUUUUACUCUCUCUCUAACGCCAGACGAUUUUACUCGUCAAGUGGAGAGUGCUGCCACUCAUUGGGUUAAUUAAUUAAUGGUUUUUUCCUAUAUGCACAGAAAAAAAUAAAAUACCAUAUCAAUCAUAAAUAUUAACUCAAGAGUGCAAGACUCUCCCCUUGACGAGUAAAAUUGUCCGGCGUUAGACAGAGUAAAAGACUGAAGUAGGGUACAUUGCUGCCUAAUGGGUUAAACAUGGUUUUUACUGAAAUG